AGAGUUUGAUCCUGGCUCAGAUUGAACGCUGGCGGCGUGCCUAACACAUGCAAGUCGAGCGGUAACAGGUGUAGCAAUACAUGCUGACGAGCGGCGAACGGGUGAGUAAUGCUUUGGAAUCUUCCCAGUAGUGGGGAAUAACCAGUCGAAAGAUUGGCUAAUACCGCAUACGUCCGAAAGGGGAAAGCGGGGGCUCGUAAGACCUCGCGCUAUUGGAUGAGCCAAAGUCGGAUUAGCUAGUUGGUGGGGUAAUGGCCUACCAAGGCGACAAUCCGUAGCUGGUCUGAGAGGACGACCAGCCACACCGGAACUGAGACACGGUCCGGACUCCUACGGGAGGCAGCAGUGGGGAAUAUUGGACAAUGGGGGAAACCCUGAUCCAGCGACGCCGCGUGUGUGAAGAAGGCCUGCGGGUUGUAAAGCACUUUUAGUGGGGACAAAAAGCUACGGACUAAUACUCUGUGGUCUUGAUUUAACCCAAAGAAAAAGCACCGGCUAACUCUGUGCCAGCAGCCGCGGUAAUACAGAGGGUGCGAGCGUUAAUCGGAAUUACUGGGCGUAAAGCGCGCGUAGACGGUUUUGUAAGUCAGAUGUGAAAUCCCUGGGCUCAACCUGGGAACUGCAUUUGAAACUGCAUGGCUAGAGUAUGGAAGAGGGAAGUGGAAUUUCCGGUGUAGCGGUGAAAUGCGUAGAUAUCGGAAGGAACACCAGUGGCGAAAGCGACUUCCUGGUCCAAUACUGACGUUCAUGUGCGAAAGCGUGGGGAGCAAACAGGAUUAGAUACCCUAGUAGUCC
rnacentral:rRNA from 1 species